rnacentral:rRNA from 1 species
UUUUAAAUGGCCGCAGUAUUUUGACUGUGCAAAGGUAGCAUAAUCAUUAGUUUUUUAAUUAAAAGCUUGUAUGAAAGGCUGGACGAGGUAAAAUCUGUCUCUAUUUAAAUUAUUGUAGAAUUUAACUUUUAAGUUAAAAGGCUUAAAUAUUAUUAAAAGACGAGAAGACCCUAUAGAUCUUUAUAGUUUAUUAAAUUAAAUUAAUUUAGAAAUAUUAAUAUUUUAUUUAAUUAAGUUAUUUUAUUGGGGUAAUAAAAAGAUUGAAUUAAUUCUUUUUUAUAAUAAACAUUAAUUUAUGAAUAUUAAUGAUCCAGUUUUACUGAUUAUAAGAUUAAGUUACCUUAGGGAUAACAGCGUAAUUUUUUUAGAGAGUUCAUAUCGAUAAAAAAGUUUGCGACCUCGAUGUUGGAUUAAAGAUUAUUUUAGGUGUAGAAGCUUAAUAAUUUUGGUCUGUUCGACCAUUAAAUCUUUACAUGAUCUGAGUUCAGACCGGCGUAAGCCAGGUCGGUUUCUAUCUUUAAUAAAAUAAAAUAUUUUAGUACGAAAGGACCAAAUAUUUGAUAUAUUUAUAUUUAAUUUAUUGAAUGUUA